CCUAGGUAUCAAACCCUAGGUGUAACCUUAAAAGCAACUUUACUGGAAAUGUGGUCAGGAACGUCGGAGAGGCACCCAAAACGUCCACUGAGGGAGAAUCGAGCCACUGGAAGGCAGUAAAACUUCAGGUUAAACCACUAGAAACCCUAGAAGUCGAUAGGUCACCCAAAAUCAACCAAAAAUCAUCAUAAAAUCUUCCAGAAUAUUCAGGAGAAGAAAAUACACUCUGAUCACGAUGAAAGACUCAGAAAAGUCUCCGAUAGGUCGAAAUCUUCAUCGACCGUGAGGUCUUAGAAAUCACCCCCAAAAACCUCGAAACAGACUUCAUCCAAGACCACGAAGCACAUAGAAACAUAGUCGGAUCGUCGUCGAGCUAUGAUACCAUGUAAACAUUCAUUUUAGACCGAGAAAUCAUAGCAAAUCCAGAGAGAGAAAGUAGAGAGAAGUUAUAGCAUUUCGGAACUCUCUGGAAGAUGAGAGAUGUUAU
rnacentral:lncRNA from 1 species